CAUGAACUAAGCUUGGAAUUAUGGCCACCGUGCAGUAAUAGCAUCUUCUAGGCAGCACAAGGAUUUGGAGAUUCAGAAAACCAACUUGCAAAAGACCAACUGAUCAAGUUCAUCCUCCCAGUUCCAUAUGAAUGUGGCAUAAAGACAACAGCCAACAGAAAUUCCUGAUGUGUUAAAGAAAUAGGAAACAGGUGCAAAUUUUCAUCCUUGAGAAAUCAGAUGUUUCUUCAACUCAACACACUGAAAAUAAGACUGAUUCGGGAAUUUUGAUUCCAUCACCUACCUGAAAUAGUGAUCAUGGUACUGAUCCUACCAAUAUUCUGGAACAAAGCAAAUGAAUCCCUUGACCCCAAGAGCACCCUUGAC
rnacentral:lncRNA from 1 species